CGUCGCCUCCGGCCCCGCGUCCUCCUCCUCCUCUGCCGCCUCUCCGCCGCCGCCACUGCCUCCGCCUCCGCCUCCGCCCCCGCGUCCUCGUCCUCAUCCGCCGACUACUCCUUCGCCCCCCUUGAUGAGUCCUCGUCCGACGACGACGCCGAGCCCUCCCCCACCUUCUCCCUCUUCCUUGCCUUCGCGGAGCAGUUCGUCUCCUGCCCGCAUCCCAAAAUGCCCGCCGUCACGGACAUCGCUGUACUAACGGGGAAGAGAUUUAAGGACUUGGACAACGAGGAGAGCUACGAGCGGUUCCGGCAGCGCGAGCGGCGAGGGGUGGUAAUUGUAACUCGUAUCACAUCCAGUAGCAACUUAUCACUUUCAAGACUUAGAACUGCAUGUGAGAACUCAGGCCACUGAGUCAUUGUUCUAUAAAAAGGUUCACAGGGUGUGUAUUUUAGAAAUAAAGCUUCUUGAUUGUGUUGUCUAUGAUCAAGCAUCCCUCAAAAUAAUUGACCAUACCAGUUUGCAUGCUUGAGCUAUUUUUUUAGACUAUUAAAAGAACUUAGGUAUCCAUUAUUGUGAGAGACGCAUUAUGAGUGUUAUUCUAAAGUAAGAUCCAAAUUAUUGUUUGAUUACUUCAGGAACUUCAUCAAAAUGUUGAGAAAUUACCACAUGCAUAUAUCUCUUUAGCAUAGAUUUAUUUCUCUUGUGAGUUAUAAGUAAAGCAAUGGCAUCAACGUUUUGUUGGGCUAUGCUUAUAUGUUGUCUGUGCUUUCACUAAAGUUUUGAAGAUUGAAUUCACAUGAAUCUUCAGCAUUUUUGAAAAGAAGUAGACCUUACUUGUAUCCUUGAGAGCUUUCUCGAAAAUAAAAUGUUUUAUGAACAUGCCACUUAGUACUGCUAGGAAGCAUGUGAAGUGCACCCAGAAACUUCUUUACCUGUCUAAUCUGCGCCGAAGUAUCACUUUCGAACCUAUAAGUUUGCCCCUGGAUCUACAUUGUAACACUCGGUAAGAACCUAAUAAUAUGAUCUCUUGCAGUAUCCUUCAGAAAACUUUCAAAGUAGGUAAUAAUACUUUCAAAGUAGGUAGCAAAUACAGCCAUUGCAAUAUCCUAGAAUGGCUGUUUCAGGGGGUCCUUGACUUCCAGUGCUUUGUCACAACAGCUCACCAUUUCCUCCGGUUCUAUCUGAAGGCUGCAAAUGCAGAUGACAGAGUCGAGGACCUAGCGAAGUACCUGGCCAUGCUUUCACUUCUAGACCACAAACAAUUUGGUUAUGGAGGUAAACACUUCUAAACCGCAGUGGUAGCCCUUGCUUGCCUUGCCACAGAUAAUGAGUCAUGAUGCCAUUUGGUUAUGGAGAAAUGUGUAACCACCGCAUAAAUGCAGACUCACACGAGGAUGAAGAAUGAUGAUCUGCUUAAAUGCCUAAUGAGUCUCGAGUGGUUUAUCAAUUAUGCUUCCUGCUAACCAGGACAAAACCAGAUUAGUUUGACAGGCGUCGUGCGUACAGAUUCACUUACGAAUCGGAGGCGUGCAGAUUAGUUUGACAGCAGGGUAGAUAAGAAGGACAAGAAGCCGGCCAAAACGUGGUUGUGAUCGCGUCAGUCCAAUAGGGAGCAUUGCAACCUGUUGUUGUAAGCUGUAAAAUUUAAUGGGGUGGUUAUCAAUUGCAGUGCUACAAAAUCUUUAUUUCUGGACUAUGAUGGAUAUUCCAAUUUUUUAACUGAUUCAGAAUAUUAUUCCUUUUGUGUUGGAGUCGUGGAGUUAAAAAAUGAUGGAUUCAUUGAA